AAAAGUAAGCAACAUAAAAGAAAAAGUCUGAAAGAAAAGGCUUCCUGGGUGAUUUAUCCAUUGCACUUGGGAUGUGCUGACCCUUGUGAUUUUCCCAAGUUCAGGAAACUUGACUGCAUAAUUUGUGGUAGUUGGGGACUGUGUUCCUGCUCCACCCCUCC
rnacentral:snRNA from 1 species